rnacentral:rRNA from 1 species
UAACUGUGCAAAGGUAGCAUAAUCAUUAGUCUUUUAAUUGAAGGCUGGUAUGAAUGGUUGGACGAGAUAUUAACUGUUUCAUGAAAAUUUAUAAUUGAAUUUUAUUUUUUAGUCAAAAAGCUAAAAUUUAUUUAAAAGACGAGAAGACCCUAUAAAUCUUUAUAUUUAAAUUAUUUUAAUUUUUUAGAUAUAUUUUGUUAUAAUAAUUAAUAAUAUUUUAUUGGGGUGAUAUUAAAAUUUAAUAAACUUUUAAUUGUUUAGAUCAUUGAUUUAUGAAUAAUUGAUCCAUUAGUAGUGAUUAAAAAAUUAAGUUACUUUAGGGAUAACAGCGUAAUUUUUUUGGAGAGUUCUUAUCGAUAAAAAAGAUUGCGACCUCGAUGUUGGAUUAAGAGAUAAGUUUAGGUGUAGCCGYUUAAAUUUUAAGUCUGUUCGACUUUUAAAUUCU